rnacentral:tRNA from 1 species
GUAUCCGUAGCUUAGUUGGCUAAAGCGCUUGACUGUGACUCAGGAGACCGCGGGUUCGAGUCCCGUCGGAUACC